rnacentral:rRNA from 1 species
AUUGAACGCUGGCGGCAGGCCUAACACAUGCAAGUCGAACGGUAACAGGAAGCAGCUUGCUGCUUUGCUGACGAGUGGCGGACGGGUGAGUAAUGUCUGGGAAACUGCCUGAUGGAGGGGGAUAACUACUGGAAACGGUAGCUAAUACCGCAUAACGUCGCAAGACCAAAGAGGGGGACCUUAGGGCCUCUUGCCAUCGGAUGUGCCCAGAUGGGAUUAGCUAGUAGGUGGGGUAACGGCUCACCUAGGCGACGAUCCCUAGAUGGUCUGAGAGGAUGACCAGCCAGACUGGAAGUGAGACACGGUACAGACUCCUACGGGAGGCAGCAGUGGGGAAUAUUGCACAAUGGGCGCAAGCCUGAUGCAGCCAUGCCGCGUGUAUGAAGAAGGCCUUCGGGUUGUAAAGUACUUUCAGCGGGGAGGAAGGGAGUAAAGUUAAUACCUUAGCUCAUUGACGUUACCCGCAGAAGAAGCACCGGCUAACUCCGUG